UACGUAGGGUGCGAGCGUUAUUCGGAAUUACUGGGCUUAAAGGGUGCGUAGGCUGCGCGGAAAGUUGGGUGUGAAAUCCCUCGGCUCAACCGAGGAACUGCGCCCAAAACUGCCGUGCUCGAGGAAGAUAGAGGUAAGCGGAACUUACGGUGGAGCGGUGAAAUGCGUUGAUAUCGUAAGGAACACCUGUGGCGAAAGCGGCUUACUGGGUCUUUUCUGACGCUGAUGCACGAAAGCUAGGGGAGCAAACGGG
rnacentral:rRNA from 1 species